CGGGUCACGGCCCGGGACAGAGACUUGCGGGCGGAGGGACGGGUGUCGGUGUGGGGCGGGCAGGCGGCUCACGGCAUGGCGGGGGGGGCGGGGGCGGCAUAGGGCCAGACCGGGAGAGGGCAGGACUCCGGGGCCGGCGGGGACAGCGGGAGCCUUUCCGUGGCCGCGGCCCGCAAGGAAAGGGAGGCAGGAGCGGCGGGCGGGAUUUGUCUUCCUACGUGGAUAAACUGCCGCCCAAGUGCCAGCGCCGUACAGGAACCCGACGGGAACCCAUCCAGCUCUCCCCUUCAUGUGAACUGAAUUCCAGCCAUGAGACUUCCAGCUUCAUCUCCUCACCUUCGCUGGUCUUACUUAGGCUCUGACCCUGCAAAUAUUCAUACAUGGGGUUAAAAUUUAACGGGUGCCCCCCUGCUUCAGGCCCUACAGAUGGAUCUACCUGCUGGCACAGCCGCUGUGGCAAACGUGCCCUGUGGAUGGAAAUGAUAACAGGGAAAGAGUGGGGCUUGCCUGCAAGGCAUGCGAAAAAAUAAACUCUUUUUAUACUGA